UACGUAGGUGGCAAGCGUUGUCCGGAAUUAUUGGGCGUAAAGCGCGCGCAGGCGGUCCUUUAAGUCUGAUGUGAAAGCCCUCGGCUCAACCGUGGAGGGUCAUUGGAAACUGGGGGACUUGAGUGCAGAAGAGGAAAGCGGAAUUCCACGUGUAGCGGUGAAAUGCGUAGAGAUGUGGAGGAACACCAGUGGCGAAGGCGGCUUUCUGGUCUGUAACUGACGCUGAGGCGCGAAAGCGUGGGGAGCAAACAGG
rnacentral:rRNA from 1 species